rnacentral:rRNA from 1 species
AGCGAACGCUGGCGGCAGGCCUAACACAUGCAAGUCGAACGGCCACUUCGGUACUAGUGGCUGACGCGGGAGGAACACGGGGGAACGUACCUUUCGGCUCGGAAUAAUCCAGGGACACGUGGACUAAUACCGGAAACGCUCCUCGGGGGAAAGAUUCAUCGCAGGUGGUACAGCACGCGUCCGAUUAGCUUGGUGGUGAGGUAAUGGCGCAUGAAGGCUACGAUCGGUAGCUGGUCUGAGAGGCAGGUCAGCCACAAUGAGGCGGGGACGCGGCCCAAAAUCCUACGGGAGGCAGCAGUGCGUAAUAUAGGACUAUGGGCGCAAGCCUGAUCCAGCCAUGCCGCGAGAGUGAUGAAGGCGUGAGAGUAGUAAAGCUCUUUUGUCCGGGAAGAUAAUGACGGUACCGGAAGAAUAAGCCCCGGCUAACUUCGUG